AUGUUUGCUGCAGGAGCUGCAGAAAAUGAAAAGCAACAACAACGAAGACAAAAUAUGCAGAAGGGGCUGUUGGAGUGGAGACAGAAGCAGAGCGUUGAUGAAGGACAUGCUGGUGGAUUGUUCCUGCACAGGAUGCCAGCCUCAGCCCAGUCAUACUCUGGAGCCCAGAGGGACCAGUGCUUAUUGAGGACAGCAGUACACUUGCUGAAGUGCAAAACAGAAGCCCUUUCCUUCCUAUUGCAAAAGCAAGGGCAACAAAACCAGCAAAUGCCCUGGAGCUCCCACCUUUGUGUUCUGGCAAGGACAUCAGACAGAAUCACCACAUCUAUACCCACCCAGGGGCUUUGCGGCCUUAUUGGGUUCACCCAGCAGCUAUUCCACUGUUGUAUGGUUCAUGUUUUAUUGACAGCAUUUCACAGAUUGUUCUGUGGGUGGGUCUGUGACUUGUUUGAUGGAAAAUUUUGCCUGGAUUUGCCUGAUGAGAGGUUUUACUGCUUGCAGUAUUUGAUUUUCAGUAAAGGUUAUUUUUGACAAAAGUGUUAAAGUUUCAUAAAUUUAUAUGUUAUCUCAUAAACAUCGUAAAAUGCCUUUUUGACAAAUCUAAUAAAUAUAACAAAAUGCCCUCUCA
rnacentral:lncRNA from 1 species